AAAACAAAAUUAAGUAAGAAGAAAUAGGUUUUCUUCUUUUUUCACUCUCAAAACACCAUAGAAAUAGCUUGGAGAAUUGGUUGAGCAUAAAAGCUUUCAUUUUGAAUUGAACGCGAGAUUUGAGUACAUUCAUGAUUUGGUGUAUGACGGGAGUUUGGAGUGGAGCUGGUAUUAUAGGGAGAUAUUGGCAUUUUACCCAAGUAAACUGGGAUUCAACAUUUGUUGCAAACUCUCAUGUUUUACUUUAUGUUUGGCGUGAUUGGGUGGAUCAGCUCUUACGAGCUUUUGUUCAGCUUUCAAGCUUCGUUGGCGUAUUCGGGAGGACCGGCUCUUAUAAGCUUCUGUUGACGAUAUACUCUUACCCAUUUUCGGAAGGUUGGAUGACCGGAUCGGCACUCAAGUCACACUAUCCAGUUUAUCUCGGUAGUUUUUGAAACGUUAAAUUCGGAUUAUAUGGCAUGUAUAGGCUCUUAUGCUAUUUUGGUUAAUGUUUGGCUUAUGUAAAUGUUAUGAAUGAUAUUUUGUGCAAAUAACCAAUUUACAAAGGGUAUGGUAUAGUUGUUAUGCUUGUAUGUGUGGCAUACAUAUAUUUGAUUUGUUGUGGUUGUGGUAACUUUGUUAGGUAUUUUGAUUUGAUAUUGCUUGAAUGAGAUGAUGAAUUGAAUUAA